UGAUGGCAUGUGAGCAGGAGUGGGGAAGACCUUGAUCAAGCCCACCAGGAUGGUUUGCUCCCUGAGACAGACCUGGGAUGCCCAUGACACCCCAUACCUGGGGAUGGGUCACCUUCUGCUGGUUGCUAGAUCUGGCUCCUGGCCCACUGAAUCCAUCUUGUCCAUCCUACAGCUCUUCCCUCUGGCUACCAUGACCCAAGAGGUAGGGAAAAGGCAUUCUGGGGCAUUUUGGGGAGAGGUGGUCGUGUGGGGCUGGGGCCGAGAGGGCGAUGGAGAUGUGCGGUCAAAGAUGCUCUCGCCCGCAGUGACUCUAUUCGGCUUUAAUUGCUCCCUGAAGUUGCCGGCUGCUGGCGGCACUGCAUCAGAGAUGUCACGUUAUAGUCAUGCGUGAAGAGCUAAUGGUCAAGGGUGACACCACCAACAAAACAUCCGCAGGGAAGCUGUCAGCGGGGGGCAGAGGGGAUCAAAGGGCAGAGAGAGAGGCUGUCCUGCUGCCAAGGGUCGGGGCUACUGCUGGAGAUGCAGGUGCCCAGCGUAGGGCUGGUGGCAGCACUUGUGGGGCUUUGUGGCCAGAAAAUUGUCCUGCCACAUCAGGGACAGUGCAGGCAGUGCCCAAGCUGAGAGUGCUGGCCCAUCUCAGAACUCCUGGAAAAGAUGUCCUUUGACUUUGAAGCUUCACACUGGCACAGGUUGGGAGGGCUUGUGCUGACUGUGUCACUGGACCAGCGUUAGCUGGUCUCUGCUGUGCCCCAUGCUGAAGGGUGGUAGCCCAGGUGUGACCACCCAGGAUGUGUAGGUGGGUCUGAGAUGCACAGCUCCUGUGACAGCCACAGGGGCACCAACCUGUCCCUUCGGGCAUCUGCACCCUCUUAUGCCCUGGCUGGAAUGCUGCUGUGCCCCGGCUGGUUGGCACCUACCAAGAUUUGAAGGGAAGACCUGGAUGAGACCCCAUCUCAGCCAUGCAAGAGGUUAAGGGGUACGGUGUGGUGGGGUUGCUUUUUCAGGUGCUGCCAAAGUCUGCAGGCUGUGCUGCAGCGAGAGCAGCGUGGUGCAAGGUGCCCUUUCCUAAUGCCCUCGUCCCCAGAGGCCACUGCAGGACACAGGCUGCUCCUCUAUUUCGCAGCAGUGCUGGUGUGGCCCUGGUUUGCAUUUGGCUCGGUGCUCCCAUUUCCAGCUGCUUCCUGCUGCUAGGUGCAGUAUCUCUACCCCCACUGCCUCUCUGGUGGGAUGGGGCAGCAUCUCCCUGCCCUCCAUCAGCAGGAAUGGCUCGGAGAAAGCCAAGCGAGACGGCCACGCUGCUGGGGCGCACAGAUCAGCCUGCCAGAGAGGCAGCCCUGGCUGCAGCCAUCCCACCGAGAAGCGCGGCGAGGGAGAAAGAGUUAUUGCUGCAGUCACACACCAGCUAUUACCUCCCAACAAAAGGCAGCGUCUGCACAGCCGGGAGAGAGCCCGAGGACAGGGACAGCCCUGAUGACCUUCAGAGGACAUGCAGCAGACAGGCCAAAGCCCUGAUCAUCCCAGACAGCACACGUCAAGCUUUCAGGUUUCUGAAAGGAGGCAGAGGCGAUGCUGUUGUCGGCGCUUAGCCGCUGCGAGGUGCCAGUACCCAGCCUGACGCUGGAGUUUGGACGCAUCCCUGCAAAGCGUCAUUUCCCAGCCCAUUCCUGGCAGCCGGAGCUCAGCAAGGAGCCUGCUCCUAACAACCAGGGCUCAAGGCUAAGGUGACAGCACCUUGUGGAGUAAGCCAGGGCUCUCAACCUGAGUCCGUGGUCAGGAUCUAUCAUCUGUAUCCCUGGAGCCUGAAACCCUCCGGGACACCCAGGUUUGAGGGUGAUGUCCCUGUGCUGCUGCUUGCCCCAGAAGUGAAGGUACUCGAGGGCAUCCUCAUGCCAUGAUGAACUGGAAGCUUAUUAACAAGAUGAGAGGCUGGAGCCUAAUUAGCAGCAGGACGAGGGAGCUGCUAGAGCUGAGUCAGCGAGUGGGAGAAGCACUGGCGUGGCCCUCGGCAAACGCCACAGCGGUCCCGGCCAUCGCCGCCUGCCGCUUCCAAACCGCUCCAGAAAACAGGAGAAUGGGACAAAACCCGUGCGGUCCUGGCAGGGUCGGGGAGAGCAGCCUCACCCGGGUCUGGCUCUGGACAUCACCUGCGUGGUCACCCCAAAGCCACUGGCUUCAGGGUUUUUUACUCCAUGCUAAUUGCAUCGUAGCUUGGAUUUUACGGGUUGAGCUCGGGCCGUGUUUCCAAGAAUAUGUUGGAUAUUUAGGGACAAUGCCACCCAGGCAUU